GACGAACGCUGGCGGCGUGCUUAACACAUGCAAGUCGAACGGUGACCCAGGGCUUGCCCUGGUGAUCAGUGGCGAACGGGUGAGUAACACGUGGGCAACCUGCCCCUGACUUCGGGAUAACUCCUCGAAAGAGGAGCUAAUACCGGAUACGACCACUUCGGACAUCCGAUGGUGGUGGAAAGUUUUCGGUCAGGGAUGGGCCCGCGGCCUAUCAGCUAGUUGGUGGGGUAAUGGUCUACCAAGGCGACGACGGGUAGCCGGCCUGAGAGGGCGACCGGCCACACUGGGACUGAGACACGGCCCAGACUCCUACGGGAAGCAGCAGUGGGGAAUAUUGCGCAAUGGGCGAAAGCCUGACGCAGCGACGCCGCGUGAGGGAUGAAGG
rnacentral:rRNA from 1 species